CGUUCAAUGGGCGCAAGCCUGAACGAGCAACGCCGCGUGGAGGAUGACGGCCUUCGGGUUGUAAACUCCUUUUCCGGGGGGACGAUGAUGACGGUACCCUGGGAAUAAGGCUCGGCUAACUCUGUGCCAGCAGCCGCGGUAAUACAGAGGAGCCAAGCGUUGUCCGGAUUGACUGGGCGUAAAGCGCACGCAGGCGGUCCGGCGCGUGGGGUGUGAAAUCUGGCCGCUUAACGGCCAGGCGCCAUCCCAUACGGCCGGACUGGAGGGCUGCAGAGGUCGAUGGAAUUGCCGGUGUAGUGGUGAAAUGCGUAGAGAUCGGCAGGAACACCCAGGGGGAAACCAGUCGACUGGGCAGCACCUGACGCUGAGGUGCGAGAGCGUGGGGAGCGAACCGGAUUAGAUACCCGGGUAGUCCACGCCGUAAACGAUGGCCACUCGGCCGUUUGGGGGCGGAACAUCCGUCCGGUGGGGGCCUUAGCUAACGGCGGGAAGUGGCCCGCCGUGGGAACUACGAGCGCAAGACUUA
rnacentral:rRNA from 1 species